rnacentral:rRNA from 1 species
GAUGAACGCUGGCGGCGUGCCUAAUACAUGCAAGUCGAACGAAACUUCUUUAUCACCGAGUGCUUGCACUCACCGAUAAAGAGUUGAGUGGCGAACGGGUGAGUAACACGUGGGCAACCUGCCCAAAAGAGGGGGAUAACACUUGGAAACAGGUGCUAAUACCGCAAAACCAUAGUUACCGCAUGGUAACUAUGUAAAAGGUGGCUAUACUACCGCUUUUGGAUGGGCCCGCGGCGCAUUAGCUAGUUGGUAGGGUAAAGGCUUACCAAGGCAAUGAUGCGUAGCCGAAUUGAGAGGUUGAUCGGCCACAUUGGGACUGAGACACGGCCCAAACUCCUACGGGAGGCAGCAGUAGGGAAUCUUCCACAAUGGGCGAAAGCCUGAUGGAGCAACGCCGCGUGGGUGAAGAAGGUCUUCGGAUCGUAAAACCCUGUUGUUAGAGAAGAAAGUGCGUGAGAGUAACUGUUCACGUUUCGACGGUAUCUAACCAGAAAGCCACGGCUAACUACGUG